rfam:Pseudoalteromonas citrea strain KMM216 contig0203, whole genome shotgun sequence.
AAGUUCCGACCCGCACGAAUGGCAUAACGGUCUGAGCACUGUCUCAACCAUGGACUCGGUGAAAUUGCAAUGUCGGUAAAAAUGCCGACUACUCGCAGCAAGACGGAAAGACCCUAUGGAGCUUUACUAUAGCUUGGUAUUGGGUUAUGAUUUAAGAUGUGCAGGAUAGGUGGGAGACGGUGAAUUAGCAACGCUAGUUGUUAUGGAGUCAUCCUUGAGAUACCACCCUUCUUAAAUUGUAACUCUAACUCCUAAAUUGGAGGACAGUGCUUGGUGGGUAGUUUAACUGGGGCGGUCGCCUCCUAAAGAGUAACGGAGGCGCGCAAUGGUCAACUAUCUUCGGAUGGAAAUCGAAGAGAUAGUGUAUUCGCAUAAGUUGGCCUGACUGAGAGACUUACAAGUCGACCAGACACGAAAGUGGGCGAAAGUGAUCCGGCAUUAACACGUGGAAGUGAUGUCGCUCAACGGAUAAAAGUUA